rfam:Onchocerca volvulus assembly O_volvulus_Cameroon_v3 genomic scaffold, OVOC_OM1a
GGUUUAAUUACCCAAGUUUGAGGUAAUUGAAUGUUUCUGCCCAGAGUUUCGACUGCUGUGGCUUGAAGCGAAAUUUUGGAACGUCCUGCAUGAGCGGGACAAC